AGAGCGAACGCUGGCGGCGUGCUUAACACAUGCAAGUCGAGUGCGCGCCUGUAGCAAUACAGGUGGCGCACGGCGCACGGGUGCGUAACACGUGGGUAAUCUGCCCUUCGAUGGGGAAUAACUCGCCGAAAGGCGAGCUAAUUCCGCAUAACAUUCCGAGAACUUUGGUUUUGGAUUCAAAGGCGUAAGUCGUCGGAGGAGGAGCCCGCGCACGAUUAGCUAGUUGGUGAGGUAAUGGCUCACCAAGGCUAUGAUCGUUAGCUGGU
rnacentral:rRNA from 1 species